rnacentral:tRNA from 1 species
GGGCCUGUGGUCUAGGGGUAUGGCGUUCGCUUCGCAUGUGAAAGGUCCGGGGUUCAAAUCCCCGCUGGUCCA